AGUAUGGAGAGUUUGAUUCUGGCUCAGAGCGAACGUUGGCGAUGCGUCUUAAGCAUGCAAGUCGAGCGGGCUUAUUCGGGCAACUGGAUAAGUUAGCGGCGAACUGGUGAGUAACACGUAGGUAAUCUGCCGUGAAGUGGGGGAUAACCCAUGGAAACAUGGACUAAUACCGUAUAUACUCUUGCUACAUAAGUAGAGUAGAGGAAAGUUUUUUCGCUUCACGAUGAGCCUGCGGCCUAUUAGCCUGUUGGUAGGGUAAUGGCCUACCAAAGCUACGAUAGGUAGCCGACCUGAGAGGGUGACCGGCCACAUUGGGACUGAGAUACGGCCCAGACUCCUACGGGAGGCAGCAGCUGAGAAUCUUCCACAAUGGACGAAAGUCUGAUGGAGCGACAUCGCGUGAGGGAUGAAGGCCUUCGGGUUGUAAACCUCGGAAAUUAUCGAAGAAUGAGUGACAGUAGAUAAUGUAAGCCUCGGCUAACUACGUGCCAGCAGCCGCGGUAAUACGUAGGAGGCAAACGUUGCUCGGAUUUACUGGGCGUAAAGGGUGAGUAGGCGGA
rnacentral:rRNA from 1 species